CAGAGUUGUAAAACUCCCAAACCCAUGUGAACAUACCUCUGUUGCCUCGGUGGCUCGCGGGGCCAGCUACCCUGUAGCUACCCUGUACACCACCGACGGACCACUAAACUCUGUUUAUUAUACAUCUCUGAGUACAACUAUAAAUAAGUUA
rnacentral:misc_RNA from 1 species